UGCAAAUGAUGUUUUUUCUCACGAUGGUCUUCCAAGCCUGCUUGGUUUUGACGACACUGCCUAAUGGCAUCACUGAUGUAGUCCU
ensembl:snoRNA small nucleolar RNA SNORD35